UGAAAAAGAAAAUAAAAAAGGCGGGUGUGGUGGGAAUCUCUAGUACAUUGAACGAAAGACUCGGCAGAUCUAAAUUGCUUCUUGUCUCUAUCUUCUCUUCUCUGUCUCUUUCGUCUUCUCUACAUCCGGCUGAGUCUGGCUACCAUCUGUUGAAAACAACAUUAAUCAUAUAGUUCUGAAUGAGCUUCAUCAUAUAGAAGGCUGGUUCUCGCCAAUCUCAGUCGGAUCGUCCUCGCUUUCGUACUGUGUGAUUGGUUCUUCAUUUCUCCUUGCAGUACUCCUCGAUCUGAAAGUGUAGUUUUAGAUCGGUCGCAAUUUGUUUCAUUCCUCGAUUGUUCUGUUCGGCAAUAUUCUGGAAACCCGAGUACGAAUCGAAACGGAAGGAUCUCUGUUGCUUUAAAUCACCUGUUCGAACUAAGAAGAGCAACUCAAACAUCGAAUGAAAUCUACCAGAUAAGUUAUUUUUUUGCCAGAUUGGAUAAUUAUGCAAAACACAGCAGAUUGGAUAAUAAAAAAUAUUUGGUCAUUUUGGAAGAUUGCAGAUUUGGAAAAGAGUGGAGCCAUUUGCAGAUUUUCAAAAUCAGAAAAUUAGAAAGAAAAUUGGAUCAAACCUAGCUUCAAAGGGAGAAUGGUGGUAGAGAAUGAAUUGAAGAUGUCGUACCAAGUAUUUAUAGAGCCAAGUUUAGAAGGCUGAAAUCUACCCAACUUUACGCAUGUUUGUAUUUGUAUUUGUAUUUAGAAGGAAUGAAAUAGAAGGAUUAAAAUAGGUUUAAAAUUACCUGGACUGAGGUACUCGGACUGAGGCAGACCUUAAUGAAGAGCAGCGACCAAACAAAGAAAGAACAAACACGUAGAGGGGAGCCAUUUUCAGGCGGAGUAGAUGGCAAAUAAAGAACAAACACGCAGACCUUAAUUCGCAAAAUGGCUGGUUAGUAGCCAUUAUUUAUAGAACAGAGUUAAGCUGAAGAGUUCAAAUCAGAUUUGGAGGAUUUAGAAUUCCAAGAAAACUCAACAAUUACUGAAGAGCAAUUAUGGGUUUGCACCGGAAAAUGAAACGCCAAGAUAGAAAAGCUGCAAAGUGUUUUGAAUUCAUCUCUAUUGAUAUGUACUAGUAGUUGCACCCGUGCGAUGCACGGCCAUGUUAUUAUGGUGCAAUAUAUAAAAGAUUGUUAUAUCG